rnacentral:rRNA from 1 species
CAAUAGCGUAUAUUAAAGUUGUUGCAGUUAAAAAGCUCGUAGUUGGAUUUCUGGUGGGGCUGUCGGCCUGGCUCCGAAAGGGGUCGUGGUAUCGUUACACGCCUGGCCAUCCUCGGGGGAAGCUUUGCUGGCAUUCAGUUGUCGGCGGAGUGACGCUCGUCGUUUACUGUGAACAAAUUAGAGUGUUCUAAGCAGGCUUAGGCCGUUGAAUACAUUAGCAUGGAAUAAUGAGAUAGGACUUUGGUGGUCUAUUUUGUUGGUUUGCACGCCGAAGUAAUGAUUAAUAGGGGCGGUUGGGGGUAUUCGUAUUCAAUUGUCAGAGGUGAAAUUCUUGGAUUUAUGGAAGACGAACUACUGCGAAAGCAUUUACCAAGGAUGUUUUCAUUAA